UCGCGCUGGAUGGGGAGGUAGCGGUGCCCUGUAACCUGCAACCCGCUAUAGCAGGAUUAAAGACAUAGCGAGGCAGUGGCUGCAUUUGUCUAAUGAGCUAAGUGGUGUUGAAAUUUCAAUCUUUCGCAAUUUUUCGUCUGUGAACUCCGUCAGGCCCGGAAGGGAGCAGCGGUAUACGGAUUGGAGAAUGUGCCGGGAGAAUCCUGAAAUGGAGCUAACUGGUUCGGCGGAUAAAUGUCCGGCGUUGUCGGACUGUGGGCGCGA
rnacentral:SRP_RNA from 1 species